rnacentral:rRNA from 1 species
AACGAACGCUGGCGGCAGGCUUAACACAUGCAAGUCGAACGCGUGCAGCAAUGCACGAGUGGCGCACGGGUGAGUAACGCGUGGAUAUCUGCCUUUUGGUUCGGAAUAACCCCGGGAAACUGGGGCUAAUACCGGAUGGUUCCUGCGGGAUAAAGAUUUAUCGCCAAAAGAUGAGUCCGCGUACGAUUAGCUAGUUGGUGAGGUAAUGGCUCACCAAGGCAACGAUCGUUAGCUGGUCUGAGAGGACGAUCAGCCACACUGGAACUGAGACACGGUCCAGACUCCUACGGGAGGCAGCAGUAGGGAAUAUUGCGCAAUGGGCGAAAGCCUGACGCAGCGACGCCGCGUGAGGGACGAAGGUCUUCGGAUUGUAAACCUCUUUCAGCAGGGACGAAGCGAAAGUGACUGUACCUGCAGAAGAAGCACCGGCUAACUACGUGCCAGCAGCCGCGGU